GCAAGCUAUAUUAGAAGCCAAAAGAACUUGUGAUAAAGCUUCAUCCUCUGGUGAUUCUGAAUCUUCUCAGGGGCCUAGAGUGAUUGUUGUAGGACCUACUGACUCUGGAAAGAGUACCUUGUCGAGGAUGCUUCUUAGCUGAGCGGCUAAGCAAGGUUCGAAGCCUACCUUCGUUGACUUGGAUAUUGGACAGGGAUCUAUAACGAUUCCUGGAUGCAUUGCUGCUACACCAAUUGAAAUGCCCAUUGACCCUGUUGAAGGAAUUACUCUUGAGAUGCCUCUUGUUUACUUUUUUGGCCAUACAACUCCAAGG